rnacentral:rRNA from 1 species
CCUACGGGGGGCAGCAGUGAGGAAUAUUGGUCAAUGGUCGGGAGACUGAACCAGCCAAGCCGCGUGAGGGAGGAAGGUCCAGAGUAUCGUAAACCUCUUUUGUCAGGGAACAAAGGCGGGGACGUGUCCCCGGAUGAGUGUACCUGAAGAAAUAGCAUCGGCUAACUCCGUGCCCGCAGCCGCGGUAAUACGGAGGAUGCGAGUGUUAUCCGGAUUUAUUUGGUUUAAGGGGUGCGCAGGCGGUCUGUUAAGUUAGCGGUAAAAGCCCGGGGCUCAACCCGGGCCCGCCGUUGAAACUGGGGGUCUCGAGUGGGAGAGAAGUAUGCGGAAUGCGCGGUGUAGCGGUGAAAUGCAUAGAUAUCGCGCAGAACUCCGAUUGCGAAGGCAGCAUGCCGGCUCCACACUGACGCUGAGGCACGAAAGCGUGGGGAUCGAACAGGAUUAGAUACCCCAGUAGUC